AAAUUCCUUUCUUUUUUCCCCUUUUCCUUUCAUUUAAACAUCCACCCAAGCAAAUUGGGCCCUUUCCUUCCGGGAAGAACGACCAGGCUUGAACCCACGACCUCGCGUUCCCGAGUCCUGCUCGCGCCCCCUUUUUCCUCUCCUCCCCCGCGAGCCCCUCCUUUCUCUACAGAGAAGAAUGAGCAGUGGCCUCUGCGCCUAAAACAGCGCCAUCUUCUCUGUUUCAUUUGUUUCAUUUGUUCCAAUUACACAGCCAAUCGGAGGCCGCCCUCGUUUCAAUUUCUCCAGUUUACAUGCUUUUUGCGCCCAAUCGGGAGGCCCGCUUGUUUCAAUUUCGUCACGUGGUAUCGGCUCUCCCUUCCGCCGUUUCAAAUGGCACUUCGGGAAGUGCCGUAGGUGACCGGAGUUAUGCGACAGGAGCGCGUUUUUACUAAGUUUUUGAAUUAAUUAGACAUUAAACAUAUAGAAACGUUCAUAUUUACGUGUUCGCAUUGUUUAUAACUUGCUAGCCAGCUGGCUGUCACGCCGUUUUUCUCUCUUUUAAAAGCAGCGUUAGCGUUUAUAUCGUCUAAAACGGUAGCUAGCUAUAUUAGCUAUCGCCUGUUUCAGUAAGUUUUUGAAUGAACUUUAUAUUAAAAAUAUUGAAACGUUCAUAUUUGCGCGUUCGAAAUGUUUAGAACUUGCUAGCCAGCUGGCUGUCACGCCGUUUUUCUCUCUUUUAAAAGCAACGUAAGUGUUUAAAUCACCUACAAUGGCAGCUGCCAAUAUUAGCUAAAGAACGAAUGAAUUAAUAAUCAAUCGUUCAAUAACUUUGCAGUUAUGUCAGCGCGUUACGUGUGCGCUUUUACCUAUGAAAUAUGUCGUAAGACACAUUUGGCAUGUCCCGUGCUUCAUUUUUCAUUAUAAAACGUAGCAUUCUCUUGCUUGCAAUGUGUACAUCUGCCUGGCUUGUUAACCAGAAUUAGUCACGUUAAAGGGGUUCUGGCCAGUUAAUUAUUAGCUAAUACGAUUAAUUUAAUCAUUUAUGUCCAAAGGUUUAAAGGAUGUGGCCUGACAGUCCAGCAGACAAACGUUUUACAUGAGUUAUAACAGUGUAGCUGUUUUUUUGCAUAAGUCUGUCAAAGAGUAAUGGCAUCUCAGUAGCUACUUUAAAAAUACAGGUGUUUAAAUUGCAUGAAAGGAACUUAAAAUGUAAGCACUGCAAUGGAGUGUGAGUACAUGUGUGUCCGGACACGCCGAGGGACCCCUACAAGUCAAAGGACAGGAGCAGGAAUCGAGCGGGUUCCAUAAAAUAUUGCUUUCUGCGGCAGGUGCUCUUGUUGCAAUUUUGCAGAGAUGAAGAGGAGGGCCGGCCCCAGCCAAAGCGGUCCUUCCUGCCACCGAGGCCUGCCUCGCAAAGUUCUGAGCUGCCGAUUCCUGAGUUGCCGUGCGGCCUUCUCGAGGGAACAGCGGGAGCGGAUUGGUCGGGCGCUGUAUGUAUUGUAUGAGAAAUGUAC